ACAACGUUUCGAAAGGAACGCUAAUACCGCAUACGUCCUACGGGAGAAAGCAGGGGACCUUCGGGCCUUGCGCUAUCAGAUGAGCCUAGGUCGGAUUAGCUAGUUGGUGAGGUAAUGGCUCACCAAGGCGACGAUCCGUAACUGGUCUGAGAGGAUGAUCAGUCACACUGGAACUGAGACACGGUCCAGACUCCUACGGGAGGCAGCAGUGGGGAAUAUUGGACAAUGGGCGAAAGCCUGAUCCAGCCAUGCCGCGUGUGUGAAGAAGGUCUUCGGAUUGUAAAGCACUUUAAGUUGGGAGGAAGGGCAGUAAGUUAAUACCUUGCUGUUUUGACGUUACCGACAGAAUAAGCACCGGCUAACUCUGUGCCAGCAGCCGCGGUAAUACAGAGGGUGCAAGCGUUAAUCGGAAUUACUGGGCGUAAAGCGCGCGUAGGUGGUUCGUUAAGUUGGAUGUGAAAGCCCCGGGCUCAACCUGGGAACUGCAUCCAAAACUGGCGAGCUAGAGUACGGUAGAGGGUGGUGGAAUUUCCUGUGUAACGGUGAA
rnacentral:rRNA from 1 species